UGAGGAAUAUUGGACAAUGGAUGGAAAUCUGAUCCAGCCAUGCCGCGUGAAGGAAGACGGUCCUAUGGAUUGUAAACUUCUUUUGUAUGGGAGCAAUAAGCUUUACGCGUAGAGUGAUGAGAGUACCAUACGAAUAAGCAUCGGCUAACUCCGUGCCAGCAGCCGCGGUAAUACGGAGGAUGCGAGCGUUAUCCGGAUUUAUUGGGUUUAAAGGGUGCGUAGGCGGUUACUGUAAGUCAGCGGUGAAAUAUACAGGCUCAACCUGUAAACUGCCGUUGAUACUGCAGAGCUAGAAUGUGGAUGCUGUUGGCGGAAUGUGUAGUGUAGCGGUGAAAUGCAUAGAUAUUACACAGAACACCGAUUGCGAAGGCAGCUGACAAAUCCACAAUUGACGCUGAGG
rnacentral:rRNA from 1 species